rfam:Mortierella elongata AG-77 unplaced genomic scaffold K457scaffold_109, whole genome shotgun sequence.
CCGAAAAUAGCUCAGUUGGUAGAGCGGGAGACUGUAGUUUGCCUGUUAUCUCGCUGUCCCUGGUUCAAAUCCAGGUUUUCGCA